rnacentral:lncRNA from 1 species
UUAACUAUAGUACAACUUCAGGUGUGUGGCGUUCCAGGUGCGAGGGAUCGCCCCUCCUUCCAGCGUUUCUAAGCGGUAGGCCCCGUUCCCGAGCGCCUCGGUUAUUCUGAACGGUCCAGUCCACUUGGGUGACAAUUUAUUCUCCAUCUCGUACUGGUGGGCCUUCCUCAUCACCAAGUCGCCCUCUCUAAACUGCCUUGGCAUCACGUUCGAGUUGUAUCUUCGUUC